UUCCUCCAACAUGUCAGAAAACAUCCACUUCUAACUCGUCGGUAGUCAUUGUUUCCAUAAACCAGGAAGUGAAACUAUGACACUGAAGCGAGUUAGAAAUGGUGAUUCUGUGGCGAAG
rnacentral:pre_miRNA from 1 species